rnacentral:rRNA from 1 species
GGAAGUAAAAGUCGUAAACAAGGUUUCCGUAGGUGAACCUGCGGAAGGAUCAUUAAAGAGUAAGGGUGCUCAGCGCCCGACCUCCAACCCUUUGUUGUUAAAACUACCUUGUUGCUUUGGCGGGACCGCUCGGUCUCGAGCCGCUGGGGAUUCGUCCCAGGCGAGCGCCCGCCAGAGUUAAACCAAACUCUUGUUAUUUAACCGGUCGUCUGAGUUAAAAUUUUGAAUAAAUCAAAACUUUCAACAACGGAUCUCUUGGUUCUCGCAUCGAUGAAGAACGCAGCGAAAUGCGAUAAGUAAUGUGAAUUGCAGAAUUCAGUGAAUCAUCGAAUCUUUGAACGCACAUUGCGCCCCUUGGUAUUCCGAGGGGCAUGCCUGUUCGAGCGUCAUUACGCCACUCAAGCUAUGCUUGGUAUUGGGUGCCGUCCUUAGUUGGGCGCGCCUCAAAGACCUCGGCGAGGCCUCACCGGCUUUAGGCGUAGUAGAAUUUAUUCGAACGUCUGUCAAAGGAGAGGACUUCUGCCGACUGAAACCUUUUAUUUUUCUAGGUUGACCUCGGAUCAGGUAGGGAUACCCGCUGAACUUAAGCAUAUCAAUAAGCGGAGGAAAAGAAACCAACAGGGAUUGCCUUAGUAACG